rnacentral:lncRNA from 1 species
CUAGAAUUUUACAAUGAUACAUAAAUCGAGUUAGGUACAACUUUAUCAGAUAGCCGUGUAGGAAAGCAUCACACUUUGUCUAAUACUCGUAAUUGAAAUUACAUAUAUAUAUAUAUAUAUAUAUUUACAACCUAAUAUCGAAUAUGAAAUUUGAACAAAGUUUAAUACUAAUCAAAAAUCCCCGAAAAAACUUACGUUGAAUAACUAUUUUAAUAAAAUAAUUAACAAAAUUGUGGUGGAGGGGCUGUUGUUGGAACUUUUCCGGGAAUGAAAUCUUGAGCUUCAAAUUGCUGAAUCAUUUCUGGGGGAAAUGCGAGAUUUUGAUUGGAAUUACUCAUUUCUACUUGAUCAUCCAAAGUUUGGAUAGAAGAAGCACCUAUUGGAUUAAUCGGACCUGUCGAUGAUCGUUAGUCAUAUUCGUAUACUAGCAAGGAUACAAAGUAAAAAAACUUACCGUCAAUUGUGUUAGAAGAUCCAAACAUAGGAGUUUGGAUUAUAUUUUUGUUAGCAGGAUUAUCGUUAGAAAAUCCUGAAGCGGAUAUUUUAGAGGUUACAUUGGCAAAUGGAGAUUCAAAAGUAGUAUUAGGCGGAACAAAAGGGCCUUGAGGUUGUUGCAUAAAAGUAGCAGGGGGCUGAACAGUAAAACCAUUUGGGUUCACUGGUUGUGUUAAAGAUGUAUGACCAAAAACUGGUUGUGAAUUAUUAGGAAGCGAGAAUUGAGUAUUCAAAUUUUGAAAAGCUGAUUGCUGAGGCUGAUUCUGUAUUCCAAAACCGCUGGCAACAGUAGGACCGAAAAUCGAACUUGGAUCAUUCACAUUUUGACUUUGUGAAAACCCAGAAGCAACUUGUGAAAACGAGGAGAAUGAUGAGUUAGGAAUCCCUUGUCCGGAAUUAACAAAUGACGAAUUUGGCUGAGAUAUUCCCCCAAAUGCUGAUGGCCCUGAGGUUGCCGAACCAAAACUAGACGAACCAAAAGAAGAUGGGUUGUUUUGGACUGGAUUACUUCCCGUAAAUGAAUUUGAGGAUGUAUUUUGAGAAAAUGGAGACGCAUUUAAUUGCGAUGUAAAUGCAGAAGUCGUAGGGGCGCCAAAAAUAUCGUUUGCUUGCUGAUUGUUAUUGAAAGAAUUAUUGUUAUUUGAAAAAGAAUUGAAAGGACUAUUUUGAGUUGGCUUGUUGAACUGAUUAGACGUAACCGUUGAAUUGCUAGUAGACUUAUCAAAAAUUGACUUAUAAUUUGUCUUUCCGACGAGUUUAUUUCUCAUUUCAUCGAAAGCAGCAGCAGGCGACCGUUUAACGGCUGCUGCUUUUGCUUCUACAUCAUCCAUCAACUGUUUCUGGCGUUGUUCAUAUGCUUGCAUAUUGUUUGUCGCUUUAGCCUGAUAUGCCCACCACCGCAAUUCUUCAGGCGAAACAUCGCCUUCAUAAAUUGAUGGUAGAUUCUCAACUACUGAAUAACCUGUAAAAGGCCAUUGUGGUUUUGCGUUUUUAAGAUCGUCGUUAAUAUCCUUCAUUCUUCUAUUGGGAAGCAAAUUAUCUAAAUCGCUUCUCUUCAAACGCCUUUGUACCCAUAUUGGAGGUCGUCCAUUCUCUGGACGAAAGACAUUAACCUUAGAAAAUGCAUUUUGUCCAUUAGAAGGUACCGUAUGUUGAUUUUUACAAUUGGUACCAUACCUGCACCGAUUUUGAAGGAAAUACUUACAAACGACCAUGUUGUUGAAUAGUUGAAAUGAUAUGCUAAAGAUAAGUAUAAAAAUGUAUCAUAAUCAUAUGUUAUACUCCAAAUUUUCUUAUUUUUAGAGUGGGCGUCC